CAGUAGCCGCGGUAAUACGUAGGGUGCAAGCGUUAAUCGGAAUUACUGGGCGUAAAGCGUGCGCAGGCGGUUAUAUAAGACAGAGGUGAAAUCCCCGGGCUCAACCUGGGAACUGCCUUUGUGACUGCAAGGCUAGAGUACGGCAGAGGGGGAUGGAAUUCCGCGUGUAGCAGUGAAAUGCGUAGAUAUGCGGAGGAACACCGAUGGCGAAGGCAAUCCCCUGGGCCUGUACUGACGCUCAUGCACGAAAGCGUGGGGAGCAAACAGGAUUAGAUACCCGCGUAGUCCCUGUCUCUUAUAC
rnacentral:rRNA from 1 species